AGAGGCGAUGAAGGGCGUGCUAAUCUGCGAUAAGCGCCGGUAAGGUGAUAUGAACCGUUAUAACCGGCGAUACCCGAAUGGGGAAACCCAGUGUGACUCGUCACACUAUCAUUAACUGAAUCCAUAGGUUAAUGAGGCGAACCGGGGGAACUGAAACAUCUAAGUACCCCGAGGAAAAGAAAUCAACCGAGAUUCCCCCAGUAGCGGCGAGCGAACGGGGAGGAGCCCAGAGCCUGAAUCAGCAUGUGUGUUAGUGGAAGCGUCUGGAAAGGCGCGCGAUACAGGGUGACAGCCCCGUACACAAAAGCGCAUGUGCUGUGAGCUCGAUGAGUAGGGCGGGACACGUGGUAUCCUGUCUGAAUAUGGGGGGACCAUCCUCCAAGGCUAAAUACUCCUGACUGACCGAUAGUGAACCAGUACCGUGAGGGAAAGGCGAAAAGAACCCCGGCGAGGGGAGUGAAAAAGAACCUGAAACCGU
rnacentral:rRNA from 3 species